rnacentral:rRNA from 1 species
GACGAACGCUGGCGGCGUGCCUAAUACAUGCAAGUAGGACGCAGUUGCGAACGGGUGAGUAACGCGUAGGUAACUACCUAUUAGAGGGGGAUAACUAUUGGAAACGAUAGCUAAUACCGCAUACUAGUAGAUGGACCUGCGUUGUAUUAGCUAGUAGGUAGGGGAAUGGCCUACCUAGGCAACGAUACAUAGCCGACCGUGGAGGUGGAUCGGCAACUCUGGGAGUGGUACACGGCCCAGACUCCUACGGGGUGCAGCAGGAGGGAAUCUUUGGAAAGUGGGGGAACGCUGACCGAGCAACGGCGCGUGAGUGAAGAAGGUUUUCGGAUCGUAAAGCUCUGUUGUUAAGGAAGCGGUACUUAACCAGAAAGGGAAGGCUAACUACGUGCCAGCAGCCGCGGUAAUAC